GUUCGGCCCCUUGAACGACUAUGCAUCAUAACCCAAAGUUGAAAUUCAAACUAUCAGAGUAAUAAAUUUUGCAAAAUUUGAAUUUUUUGAAGCAUUUUUUGACGCACAACUGUAUAAAUACUCUGGAAAAGAAUUGUCAAGUUCACAAUUUUUAUAAUUACGCUUUUGGCGCAUUUAAUGCUAAAUUGUUGCGUUUAAUUGAGAAAGGAAAAAUGGGAUACGGUUAUUUGAUGAACGUUUUAGUUAUACCAAUGUUGGUUUUUGGCCAAUUGGACGUGUUCUCUGAAGCUGAGGAGGAAGCACAUCUCUAUGUAAAGUCUGAUAUCGCCAAAAAAUUAUUAAAUGCUGUUCAAAAAUUUGGAUCUUCCCAAAAUGGCAAUGAUGAUGAUGAUGAUGAUGAUGGUGAUGGUGAUGGUGAUGGUGAUGGUGGUGGUGGUGAUGAUGGUGAUGAUGGUGAUGAUGAUAGUGGUGGUGGUGGUGAUGAUGAUGAUGAUGAUGAUGAUGAUGAUGAUGAUGAUGAUGAUACUGGUGAUGAUGAUACUGGUGAUGAUGAUACAGGUGAUGAUGAUACUGGUGAUGAUGGUGAUGGCGAUGAUGAUGAUGAUGACGAUGACGAUGACGACAGUGAUGAUGAUGAUGAUGACAAUGAUGGCGAUAAUGACGGUGACAACAAUGACAACGAUGACAACAACUCAGUGUGUUGAUUUUCCAUCCAACUCGUGGUGAUGACAUUUGCUCGAGUUCGGCGUGAAUAAGCUGCGGAAAAUUCAUUAAAUCAAACAGACAUCUGAGGCAUCCAAAUCGCAAUAGUCAGCAAAAUUCUUCAAUAUUCUUUUUAAGUUUAAUUCACAAGUAUUCUCUUUCCUAAGGCCAUCUUUACGAAACACUCUGUUGUGGAGCUUAUUAUAAUUAUGUAGGUGGAGAUUAUAUCAUAGUAGAAAACCGUCUUUCCUAUCUAAUUAUCAAAUUCGUUAUUUUUGGAAAGUAGUUAUUGCCAAUUGAAGUUUGAGGGUUGCUUGUAAAUUAAUCAAAGUUGAGUGUUAAGGAGAAGGGUAAAAAAAUCAUUUAUUGCGGGCAAGUUGGGAGUAAAAUAGGUUGGCAGGUAGUUAAAACAAAAUCAAAGUUCGUAGUUUAAAUUGUUUUUCUUUAUUUUUUCAAUAGCUAUAAAUCGACGUAAAUAUUAGCAAAAUUAAAACAAUCUAUUGAAAAUAAUAGUGCAUGUUAAUUGAAUAAUAAUUAUCCUUAUUUAGACGUUGAUAUUGGAAAUUUUAGCAUUUCAUAAUGCCGUUACUAGAUAUACCUUUACUUUGUUCAAUUUUAUGUGUGAUAAUACAAAGUUUUCUAAUUCUAGUCAAAUACGUAUGGUACCACUUACUACCUACCUAGUUCUAAUUAUGCUUAGGUACUUUUAAAUUGAAUGUAUGUAAAAAAAAUCAAUCUUCAAUAUUUUACACCUUAGUAUCUACAAGUUGAAUUCAAGCUUUAAAAACAUAAUAAACUUUAUUUCAACGACAAUC